AACGACCUGCCGGGUUCGAUACCCUCGGACAUUUUUUGACCCAACACGUUUUUUCAGGGAGCCCGGGCAGCCGGCGGAAUGCAGACCUCCCCCGUUUUCGGGGACGCUGGGAGCAUGGAAACCGGCUUAUGAGCACCCACCUGCAGGAGAUGCAGGUCAUUAGCGUUCCGACACCGGCUCGGUGGGUUCUUU
rnacentral:other from 1 species